AAGCUAAUCGGCAUUACUGCGCAUGCGUGCGUCUUGACCACUGAGUCAAUCGUAGGACGCUACAGUGAAGACGAAACGCAGCUUCACCUGAAUUCUUGGGUUCAGCUGCUGGGUGGGGAACCAGGAAGAAGAGGUGUGUGCGUGUCAUAAAAGCAGUCAGUUCAGACUGUACUGCCCUCUUGUAUUACUAUGGAGGGGCCUGCAGUAGAAAACCUCAUAGACUUUGACAUGCCUUCCAGCACAGAAGUGACAGCACCCUCUGCCGUUGGUCCACCCGACUUGUUAUCAGCCGAGCCUCUCAUCCCAGAGUCUGUGUGUGAGCUUCCAAAGCCAAUGGCCCCGAGACCAGUUGAGUAUGGAAGAGAGGAAGGUGCCGAAGACAGCGAUGCCACAGAGUCUGCAGACAGUGAGAAUGAGGCCACUGAUUCGCCCUCCCACACUUCAAACUCCCGCCGCUCAUCUUCAUCAUCCAAUCACAGUGCUGAGGACUCCGAUGUAGCAGAACGGCGGGAAUUCAUGAAAGCCUAUGUGGAGAAGCUGUUUCAUGGAAGGGAGGACUUUGACCAGGAGGAGAAAGCACGCUUCGGCGAGUUGUGUAGUGGAGAAAACGGCAAGGCGAGGGAGUGGUUUGCAAAAUACAUCAGUGUGCAGCGCUGCAACUCUAAGUGUGUGAGUGAGCAGACCUUCUACCGACUGGUGCAGUCUUUUGCAGUCGUCCUGUUUGAAUGCCACCAGAUGGAUGAUUACAGCCCUGCCAAGCACUUAAUGACCAUGUGCUUCACAUACUAUUACAUUGGGAAGAUACAGCUGUCACCUACAGAGCUUCUGGAGAAGCCGAGUGCAGGUUUUGACUCAUACCUGCGUGGCAGCAAGGUCUGGCUCUCAGGCAAGAAAGACAUUGCUGAGAAAUUGUUGAAAAAUACGACAACCAAGACGGACAUGAAGAGCUUCUUCGGAGGCCUGGAGAGCAAGCUCAGAGGCCCAGCUGCCCGAAAGAACGAAGAGAUAGAGAGUCCAACAGAAGGCAAGCCUAAAGCACCAGCAUCACCACCUGCAUCCCCAGACAAGAAAAAAGGAGAGAAGAUAUACUUGUACACACACCUUAAACAGCAACCAAUCUGGCACACUUUAAGAUUUUGGAAUGCUGCAUUUUUCGAUGCUGUCCACUGUGAGAGGAACAAGAGGUCCCCGACCACGAGGGAAAAGUGGUGUCAUAUGACCCAGGAAGAGAAAGACGACAGCUCCAGGAUCGAAGAAAACAUCACCUUUGGACAGCUAGGGACCUUCACCCAUAAUAUGCUCGCCUUUGGAUUGAGUAAGAAACUCUGCAAUGAUUUCCUCAAGAAGCAGGCAAUUAUUGGAAAUUUGAAUGAAGAACAAUACAAGUUGCUGAGUGAGCAUAUUGAACAGAUGGCUGUGGAAUGAAUGGCAGCUACAGAGGACUCCACUAUCCUCUUGUUCGGUCCUACUGUUCGGUUCCCUGAUGUAUAACACCGUUCAGCUCCAGGUGGAAGCUCACUCUAGCCUCGCUCGUUUAUCCUAUUGAGCACUGCUACAGCCCGCCUUCAUUUGAACAAUUUUCAAAAGUACAGCAACGGAAGUUAACAUAUCUAUGAGGUGCAUCCUCAAAGAGGAGAACUGUUAUAAACUUGGACCAUCUGUUUCCUCAAUACUCAGUGUUCUGCUGAAGUUCACAACAAGCCAGACAGACUUUGACCUGGCACAAAUUGUGCAAAUAUAAUCCCAAUUCCGAAAAAGUUGGGAGAGUAUGGAAAAAAACGCUAAUAAAAACAAAGACGAGUGAUUUGUAAAUGUACUUUGGCUUGUAUUUAAACAAAAAAACUAUAAAGACAAGGUAUUUGAUGUUUUACAUAAUCAACUGCAUAGUGUUUUGAAGAUAAAUGUUUAUUUUGAAAUUUAUGCAUUCGAUGUAUUCCAAAAAAGUUGGGACAGGGGCAAUUUAGGAUUAAUAGUGAUGUGACAAGUUGAAAUAAGUAGGUGAUAUGAAACAGAUGAGGCAAUCGUCUAAUCAUAGUAUAUAAGGAGCCUCCAAAAAAGGCCUAGUCCUUCAAGAGCAAGGAUGUGUUGAGGCUCGCCAAUCUGCCAACAGAUGUGUCCGCUAAUAAUCCAACACUUUGAGAACAACAUUCCCCAAAGACAAAUCAGUAGGAUUUUGGGCAUUUCACCUUCUACAAUGCACAAUAUAAUUAAAAGAUUCAAGGAAUCCUGUCAAAUCUCAGUGCAUAAUGGGUAAGGCCGAAAAUCACUUCUGAAUGCGCGUGAUCUCUGAUACCUCAGACGUCGCUGUCUUAAAAAACAUUCAUGAAUCUGUAAUGGCUAUCCUGACAUGGGCUCAGGAAUACUUUAGAAAAUCUUUGUUGGUCAACACCAUUCACCGCUGCAUCCACAGAUGCAAGUUAAGGCUUUAUUAUGCAAAGCAGAAGCCAUACAUCAACACUGUCCAGAAACGCCGCCAACUUCUCUGGGCUCGGUCUCAUCCGAGAUGAACAGUAGCACAGUGGAAUCGUGUUUUGUGGUCCGACGAGUCAACAUUUCAAAUGGUUUUUGGGCAAAACGGCCGUCGUGUUCUCCAGACCAAAGAGGAAAAAGACCAUCCAAGCUGUUAUCAGCAUCAGGUCCAAAAGCCAGCGUCUGUCAUGGUAUGGGGUGUGUCAGUGCCCAUAGUGUGGGUAACUUGCACAUCUGUGAGGGCACCAUUAAUGCAGAAAUAUAUGAACACAUUUUGGAGCAACAUAUGCUGCCAUCCAGAGCAGGACAAUGCCAAACCACAUUCUGUCUGGAUUACAAGCGCAUGGUUGCGUAAGCAGAGAGUGCGGGUGCUAGCAUGGCCUGUCUGCAGUCCUGACCUGUCUCCGAUUGAGAAUGUGUGGCACAGUACGAAGCGCUAAAUAAGGCAACAAAGGCCCCUUACAGUUGCGCAGCUGAAGAAAUGCAUAAUGGAUGAAUGGGGGAAAAUUCCGCUUGUUAAACUUAACCAACUGGUGUCUUCAGCGCCGAACGCUUAAUAAGUGUUAUUAAAAGAAAUGGUGAUGUUACACAGUGGUAAACAGUCGACUGCUCCAACUUUUUUGGAGUGUGUUGCAGUCAUCAAAUUUGAAAUGAGUGUAUACUUUCAUAAAUAAAUAAAAUUCACAAAAUAAAACAUCAAAUAAUGUGAAUUUAAUGUUCAUUAAUUGUUAGGUUUUUUGUAUUUUCCAUACUGUCCCAACUUUUUCAGAAUUGGGGUUGUAGCUCCUGAUAGCCUUCGACUUCUUGACAUUGCCAUGACCUGUCUGCAUGGGUCACUGACACAUAGCACGUGCAACCCCUGGAUCAUUUCUUGCACUAUAUAAAGCACGCAUUUGUUAAUUACAAUUAUUUACAAAGGACACUUUAACAGCAAUGAAAGAAGAACAUGGAUAAACAUCUAGUCUGCUAAUUAAUUCAGCCUAUAAUAGCCAUAGACUGAUAAUAGACACAGUAAAAAGUUUCUCAGUUCAUGGGUGGUCAGCCUUUUUAGAUAAACGUGAUGCAACAAGGGUGUCACAGUUGCCUCAAGGCCAGUGACCCAGUACGUUUGGAAGCGAGCCAGGAAACAAACAGCAAACCGAUUUUAAACCAAACUGAGUAGCAGCUGCACUUUGGUCAACUAAUGACCUAACUAUUACUGAAUAUGUACUAAUAAAAUAAAUCUAACAUGAUUUCAGUUUAAAAUUUACAGUAAACAUUGUUACAGUCUGAAUUUCGUCAUACAUUUUCUUCACGCAACAUUCUCCACCACAACUAAACCAUUAGGUGUAGUAAAUUGUUAAUGUUAAUAUUUUAAGCAUUGACUAUAUGUGGUCAAAUGUGGUAAAUACUGUACAAAUAAAAAUUCAAAAAUACUUGUAAAACAGCUCUUAGAGAGCUCUCUUGGCUUGCUUAGCUGAUCCAAAAGUGGCCGUUUCUACUUCAGCGAGUGUAAAAUUGACUAAAAUACCAAACACCAUGGUUAUUUGUGUAAGAAUCAGUUUGGCCCAUACGACAACACUUGAAAACUUGAAAGUUUAUUUCUAAAGAGCUCUUUGUUUUUCGCUGUUAUUUUUAAUUUUCACAGUGUGAUCUAGGAACCAUAUGUGUGACUGGGAUGGAUAUUUAUUGUGCUAAACUCAUGUUACAGCUUUCCAGGCAUGAAAUUUUAAAAGGUAUGUAAACAUUCAAUCUGCAGAGAGUUCCUGGUGACAAAAGAGCUUUUCAAUACAUGGUUCCACAGUUUUAAGUGAUUCAUCAAGGAUGGGGAUACCUGACUCUUUUGAAUGUGUCUCAGUGGCUGGAAUUAAUACGAUUCCACGUGUGUGGUUGUUAUUAUGUGUCCAUGUGCAUAUGCAUGGCCAUGGUCCGAUCCUGAAGUGAGCAAUGCAAACAUUUAAAAUUCCGAUAAUUUCUGUGAGCAUUCUUCUCUGUGAACUGAAAAAAACUAUUUAUGAAAGUGACUUAUAAGUCUAUUAAAGAAAUAUUAUUACUCUUCCAACACUGUAUAAUGUUAUUACACUUACGUCUGUAUGUGUUUAUGUAUGUGUAAAGUAGUAGAAAUAGUACAACAGAUGUGCCUUCUAGGUGUACCCUCACAUUGAUUACUACAUUUUAGACUUAUGCAGUUCUGGGUGCUGUAACAAAGAACUUUUUCUGUACUGAUAUGUUUUGGGCCCAUUUAUCUACUUAGAAGGUGUCUACAAAUCAAUACAACGUUCUUCUGACUGAUCAUCAUAGAAACAUUUCUAUACUGAUAUUGAUAUGAAGGCUCACUAAACGGUUUGAUGAGGAUGAGUCAUAUGCUAUGGCCUUCGUGGUCACCAGAUCUCAAACCAGUUGAACACCUAUGAGAGAAUUUGGAUUGAUGUGUUAGACAUCACUCUCCACCACCAUUAUCAAAACACUAGUUGAGAAAUUAUCUUUUCAAAGAAUGGCGUUCAUUCCUCCAGUACAGAUCCAGAGACUUGUAGAAGCUAUGGUGUCAAGUCACCUUAAAGCUGUUCUGGUAGCUCAUGGUCACCCAGCAGCUUACUAAAACACUUUAUCUUGGUUUUUCCUUUAACUUCUCAUUCAUCUGUACUAUAUCCUAUGUCAUUUUUUCAUGUUCUGUUCUCCCCACUUGGAUAAUGAUGUAUAAAACAGUGUGCCAGGAAGUGUAACCAGAUUAGCAGUGAAUGUUCCUCACAGCAAUCUCAUCAAUCUUCAUCACAGCCCAGCCCACCCGCUGCACUGAGCACAUAUUUGGACAACUGAGGUCUGUUUAUGUAGAGAGUGAAAAUAUAUAACAAACAGCAAGAUUAAACCCCUUUUGAAGGCAUUGCUCUUAAAAAAAUAUGAUUUAAUACUGACUAGAGCUGUGAUUGCAGAUUAAAUAAAGGUGAAGACACUUCAAACAGCUGGAAUCUUAUUUCUUCCUCUUAAUUUCACCCCUGAUAGAUUAACCAGGCUUUCGCAACUUAAUGUUAACUAACAUUAACAAGACUUGAGAAGGUAAGAAGGUCGAAGUGUGGCAAGAAAUGUGAAAUAUACUCUAAAGAAGUGGUUUUCAAACUAGUUGUUGGAAUCCCAACCCAUUAUUAUCUAAGUUGUUUAUGUUUAUUUUUGAGGUUUUUAUAUUCUGAUUGACUGCUCAUUUGACUUGAAUGGGUUUAAUCCAGACCUCAAUACCUCAUAAACAAGUUGCCUAUAAAUAAAGGUCAACUUGGACAUGAUGUGUUCUGUUGGUGGAAAGUUCAGGAAUAAAAAGGUCUAUGGCUCCAAUAAAUAACCAAAAUGUAAUUGUACACAUCAGAUUAAUAAGCCCAAAAUUUAAAAAUACAGAUUAUGUUCAUAAAAUAAAUCUGUGCUGAGGACAUCAGUAGAGUUUAUUUUAAAAGUUUGAGGAUGUAACCGAAUGCAAAUAAAUUAUUUGCAAUGAACAGAUAAUGUGCUCUAUACAAAUUCAGGAUUUUUUUAGGUUGAGACUUGGGUCUCAUUGAGGUCCCACUGGUACUUGGAUCCUGCAGGACUCAACAAAAAAGCCAGUGAUUGGGAGGUUUAUGUGGUUUGUGUGGGCAUUAGCCAGUGGUCAGAUGUGAAACUCACAGGACAAACAAAGACCAUGUUCAUUAACAUGACAGUGCUGCAUGAUGCAUCUUUAGUAACUGCAGGGUUGUGGUGAUUUAAAUUAGGCUACUGCUUUGUUUAUCCAUUGGGAAAUAGAACCAACUAAAUUCAUUAGAACAUAUUGCAGGCAGAUACAAAUGUUUACAUUUUUACAAGUCCCAUGCUUAUCUCAAAUUGAGAGCAAUUUUGACCUGGAGCUGAGGUAGAGGUACUGUUAGAGCCAGCGUCUACAGACCAUGGCAUUUCUGAACUUUGUUCAGUGUUUUCUAGGUUUUCAUGUUUAGGCCACACCCACAUUGGUUUAAAUCCAACUACAGAUACGGAUAUUUGGAGCGCUAAACAGAUACAGAUGGUUGCAUAGCGUUAUACCCUGAUUACAAUUAAAGGGGUCCCUGGCUUCAACAAGCUUCAAAAACUCCUCCUCUA